rnacentral:rRNA from 1 species
AUAAACGUUUGCGGCGUGCCUGAUGCAUGCAAGUCGAACGCCCUAAUUUUUCGCAAGAUUGAUUAGGGAGUGGCGAACGGCUGAGUAACGCGUAAGCAACCUGUCCCUAAGUGGGGGAUAACUUGCCGAAAGGCAGGCUAAUACCGCAUGUGCUGGUAAUCGUUUAGUUUAUCAGCAAAGCUUUUGCGCUUGGGGAGGGGCUUGCGUCUGAUUAGCUAGUUGGUAGGGUAAUGGCCUACCAAGGCGAUGAUCAGUAGCUGGUCUGAGAGGACAACCAGCCAGACGGGGACUGAGAUACGGCCCUGACUCCUACGGGAGGCAGCAGCAAGGAAUUUUGCGCAAUGGGCGAAAGCCUGACGCAGCGACGCCGCGUGGGGGAUGACGGCCUUCGGGUUGUAAACCCCUUUUCAUGAGGAAGAAAUAUGACGGUACUCGUGGAAUAAGUCUUGGCUAACUACGU